rnacentral:rRNA from 1 species
UAGCGAAGGGGGCUAGCGUUGCUUCGGAAUCACUGGGCGUAAAGGGUGCGUAGGCGGGUCUUUAAGUCAGGGGUGAAAUCCUGGAGCUCAACUCCAGAACUGCCUUUGAUACUGAGGAAUCUUGAGUUCGGGAGAGGUGAGUGGAACUGCGAGUGUAGAGGUGAAAUGCGUAGAUAUCUGGAGGAACACCGGUGGCGAAGGCGGCAAUCCUGGACCCGGCAUUGACGCUGAGGCGCGAAAAGCUAGGGGAGCAAACGGGG